rnacentral:rRNA from 1 species
GACGAACGCUGGCGGCGUGCCUAACACAUGCAAGUCGAGCGAAGAAUACAUAAAGAAAUCUUCGGGUGGAAUUAUGUAUUUCUUAGCGGCGGACGGGUGAGUAACGCGUGAGGAACCUGCCUUGUACUAGGGGAUAGCCUCGGGAAACCGGGAUUAAUACCCUAUGAUACUUGAAAGUCGCAUGACUUUCAAGUCAAAGCGAUUUAGCGGUACAAGAUGGCCUCGCGUCCCAUUAGCUAGUUGGCGAGGUAAUAGCUCACCAAGGCGACGAUGGGUAGCCGGCCUGAGAGGGUGAACGGCCACACUGGAACUGAGACACGGUCCAGACUCCUACGGGAGGCAGCAGUGGGGAAUAUUGCACAAUGGAGGAAACUCUGAUGCAGCGACGCCGCGUGAGCGAUGAAGGUUUUCGAAUCGUAAAGCUCUGUCCUAAGGGACGAUAAUGACGGUACCUUAGGAGGAAGCCCCGGCUAACUACGUGCCAGCAGCCGCGGUAAUACGUAGGGGGCGAGCGUUGUCCGGAUUUAUUGGGCGUAAAGGGUGCGUAGGCGGCCUUGUAAGUCAGAUGUGAAAUCUCACGGCUUAACCGUGGUAAGCAUUUGAAACUGUGAGGCUUGAGUACAGGAGAGGAGAGUGGAAUUCCUAGUGUAGCGGUGAAAUGCGUAGAUAUUAGGAGGAAUACCAGUGGCGAAGGCGACUCUCUGGACUGUAACUGACGCUGAGGCACGAAAGCGUGGGGAGCAAACAGGAUUAGAUACCCUGGUAGUCCACGCCGUAAACGAUGAGUGCUAGGUGUCGGGGGUCAAACCUCGGUGCCGCAGUUAACACAUUAAGCACUCCGCCUGGGGAGUACGGUGGCAACACUGAAACUCAA